CCUAGUGAAGUGUCCUGAAGGGCAUAUGCCAGGGCCAUGUUUGAUGCUGAUGCUUUGCGUCCAGGACCCCCUUGAUGAAUUUCUUGGAAUAGGGCAAACUCGGUUUGAUGGACGUGGCCGCAGAAUGCAGGUUGAUCCGCUCUCACCGUCGCAGUCCGGAGUUUGGUAUGAAUGGCUGUCGAGACUUGGUUUGGUGACCAGGGCAUGAUCUGUUGAAUUCAGCCUGACAAAUGACCUUCGACCAGAAUUUGGCUGUUUUUCCGUCUUGAAGCCGUGGCUAUUUCCUUGAUGAAAUCCUCCUUGCCUUGGGAGCUUCCUCUUGCAGAGUUGCUUCCCUUUGUUCCAGGGAACCAUAUUUUUCUUAAACAUGAUGGAGAUCCAGUCAUCACUGAAAAGGGCCAUAACUCUGCUGUUCAGAUGACAAAUCCAAUGAGACUUCAGAGGGGUGUGUAGUA